rnacentral:rRNA from 1 species
GAUGAACGUUGGCGACGUGCCUAACACAUGCAAGUCGAGCGGAGAAGAAGAGAGUGAUCUCUUCGGAGUGAACUUCGUUCGGAACAGUGGCGGACGGGUGAGAAAUACAUGAGGAACCGGCUCCCUACAAGGGGAUAGCUGGGGGAAACCGCGAUUAAUACCCUAUGAGACCACGAAAGUGCAUGCAUCUGGGGGUAAAGAUUUAUCGGUAGAAGAUGGGCGCAUGACACAUUAGCUAGUUGGUGAUUUAACAGACCACCAAGGCGACGAUGGGUAGCCGGCUUGAGAGAGUGAACGGCCACAUUGGGACUGAGACACGGUCCAGACUCCUACGGGAGGCAGCAGUGGGGAAUAUUGCACAAUGGGCGAAACCCUGAUGCAGCGACGUCGCGUGAGCGAAGAAGGCCUUAGGGUCGUAAAGCUCUUUCAUAUGGGAAGAUAAUGACAGUACCAUAGAAGUAAGCCCCGGCUAACUACGUG